rnacentral:lncRNA from 1 species
UUUUUUUUUUUUUUUUUUUUGCCAAUAUUCCUAUCCUGAGAGAAAUUGUGAAGCUGGAUUGUAUGGCCGAGAGGAAUGCCUGGCUUUGUAGCUGUGCAAAUAUUAGCUAUCCCAGGGCUUCGCUGAAGCCAGGCUUAGAGGACCUUCGAGAUCACAAGGAAAGAGGGGUUUUAUGUGUCCUGACUUCAGGCCUAGGGACUCCAGCCACCCUGACCAAAAAGGAGUUUACUCGGAAUGUCUCAGCAAAACUGUCUGACCCCAGCAGGACCUGUAGCCAACGGCUGCCAUGACAACGGCUGUGGCCAGGCCUCCAGGCUGGGCUGGGGAAGGAGGCUGCAGGGGGAGAGGUGGUCACAGAAAGAGAAUAAUGGUUUUGGUGGCUACGGACGCCUCUAAACAAACUAGAUUUAAAGAUAGUCCUGCAGCUGCAGGAUGACGUUAAUAGCAACGGCAUGUUGGUUAGUUAGAGACAGCUGAGAAUGGAACAUGCAUUUCAUCUUCACAACAGCCAAAAGAGGUAAAUAAUUUUAUGAUCCGCUUACCUCUGAUGAAGCUGAGACCCAGAGGUCUGGCUGACGCCGUGGUGCCUGUGGAGUUUCCCUCGGGAAGAGGCGGGGGCUCCCCCGGAAGCCUGGUGCCUUCCCACCUCCCAUCAAUGCUUCGCAGGUGAAACUCUGAAAAGCCCUUGAGUCCUUGUGUUUUGAAGUAAAAGGCUUUUUUCCUUUAGCUGCCCAGGCCUCUCAGGUCCCAAAGGCUGACUCAAGAGUGCAUGAUUAGGAAGGAAAUACUGAUACAGCUGAAAACUAGUUGAGUCUCCCUGAUACUAGCUACGCCCUGCUUGGGCGCACUCACUUGCUCUAACCAGCUUUUCACAAAUGAUUUCUUCCUUGCUCAACUGCGUUCAUUAACUAAUGGUGCCUCGUUAGAGUUAUAUCGCUCGUGGUGGUUUUUUUCUUUUGAAACGCUCCCCAACCCACCGUCCCCUUGUAAGCGAUCCUCGCUGAGGAGAAAAGGUCAAGGGGCAAUAACCCCAAAGACCACCAGAAAACAUCACCGGAGCCCCUGACU